GGGCCCGCACAAGCGGUGGAGUAUGUGGUUUAAUUCGAUGCAACGCGAAGAACCUUACCAGGGUUUGACAUCCUGCGAAUCUCUUGGAAACGAGAGAGUGCCUUCGGGAGCGCAGUGACAGGUGGUGCAUGGCUGUCGUCAGCUCGUGUCGUGAGAUGUUGGGUUAAGUCCCGCAACGAGCGCAACCCACGUCUUUAGUUGCCAGCAUUUAGUUGGGCACUCUAGAGAGACUGCCGGUGAUAAACCGGAGGAAGGUGUGGAUGACGUCAAGUCAUCAUGCCCCUUACAUCCUGGGCUACACACGUACUACAAUGCUACGGACAAAGGGCAGCAAACUCGCGAGAGCUAGCAAAUCCCAUAAACCGUGGCUCAGUUCAGAUCGUAGGCUGCAACUCGCCUACGUGAAGGAGGAAUCGCUAGUAAUCGCAGGU
rnacentral:rRNA from 1 species